UCCGGAAUCAUUGGGUUUAAAGGGUCCGCAGGCGGCCAGAUAAGUCAGUGGUGAAAUUCCGUGGCUCAACCACGGAACUGCCAUUGAUACUGUUUGGCUUGAAUCAGUUCGAGGAUGCCGGAAUGUGUGGUGUAGCGGUGAAAUGCAUAGAUAUCACACAGAACACCAAUUGCGAAGGCAGGUGUCCAGAACUGUAUUGACGCUGAUGGACGAAAGCGUGGGUAGCGAACAGGAUUAGAUACCCUGGUAGUCCACGCCGUAAACGAUGGUCACUAGCUGUCCGGACUUAGGUCUGGGUGGCCAAGCGAAAGUGAUAAGUGACCCACCUGGGGAGUACGUUCGCAAGAAUGAAACUCAAAGGAAUUGACGGGGGCCCGCACAAGCGGUGGAGCAUGUGGUUUAAUUCGAUGAUACGCGAGGAACCUUACCAGGGCUUAAAUGCAUUAUGACAGGGGUGGAGACACCCUUUUCUUCGGACAUUUUGCAAGGUGCUGCAUGGUU
rnacentral:rRNA from 1 species